GCUGGGCAUAGUAGCGCACACCUGUAAUCCCAGUAGCUCAGGAGGCGGAGACAGGAGGAUUGUGAGUUCAAAGCCAGCCUCAGCAACAGCAAGGCGCUAAGUAACUCGGUGAGACCCUGUCUCUA
rnacentral:sRNA from 1 species